rnacentral:rRNA from 1 species
CGAAAGCCUGACGGAGCAACGCCGCGUGUGGGAAGAAGGCCUUUGGGCUGUCAACCACUUUUCUCAGGGAAGAAGUUCUGACGGUACCUGAGGAAUCAGCCUCGGCUAACUCCGUGCCAGCAGCCGCGGUAAUACGGAGGAGGCAAGCGUUAUUCGGAAUUAUUGGGCGUAAAGCGUCCGCAGGUGGUUUUUCAAGUCUGCGGUCAAAGCCAGGAGCUCAACUCCUGUCCGGCCGUGGAAACUGAGAGACUAGAGGAUGGUAGGGGUAGAGGGAAUUCCCAGUGUAGCGGUGAAAUGCGUAGAGAUUGGGAAGAACACCGGUGGCGAAAGCGCUCUACUGGACCAUCACUGACACUCAGAGGACGAAAGCUAGGGGAGCG